rnacentral:rRNA from 1 species
AUGGACGGGGGCGCCUUCGACACAGAGGGUCGUGGAACAUGUGCGACUCGCGACUACAGUGACCAGCUCGUCUGUCAGCUGUCCGGUAAGCCGCUGGCGACGCUGGAUGAGUUCACGCUCGGCAGUGCCCCCGCCCUGGACAACUACAACAUCUCGGUGUUCGACGACUUCAAUGUUCCCAUGUCGUUCUCCCGCGAUACCUUCGGUGUCAACCUCCUCUGCCUCGACGACAGCUGCUCCAAUGUGGGGAAGGUCCAGCCUUGCACGACAAAGGCCUGCCUUCUACCCGUACUAGCUAGUGAGCUCUCCAUCGCAGGGACAUGA